rnacentral:rRNA from 1 species
AUUGAACGCUGGCGGCAUGCCUAACACAUGCAAGUCGAGCGGAGCGGCGGACGGGUGAGUAAUGACUAGGAAUCUGCCUUGUCUUGGGGGAUAACGUCCGGAAACGGGCGCUAAUACCGCAUACUUUCUGAUGUGCCUAGGUCGGAUUUGCUAGUUGGUGGGGUAAAGGCCUACCAAGGCGACGAACCGUAACUGGUCUGCGAGGAUGAUCAGUCACACUGGAACGGAGACACGGUCCAGACUCCUACGGGAGGCAGCAGUGGGGAAUCUUGGGCAAUGGGCGAAAGCCUGAAACAGCCAUGCCGCGUGUGUGAAGAAGGUCUUCGGAUUGUAAAGCACUUUAAGUUGGGAGGCGGUACCAACAGAAUAAGCACCGGCUAACUACGUGCCAGCAGCCGCGGUAAUAC